UCAAGAAGCUGUUCGCCAACGUUCCGGUGUUCGACACCGGCGGCCGCGCGGCGACGACCACCUUCGUCGAGCGUCAGACCGGCGACGUGCUGAUCACCUUCGAGGCAGAGACCAACGGCAUCCGCGACAUCGCUGGCGCCGACAAGUAUCAGGUCGUCGUGCCCUCGCAGAGCCUGCUCGCCGAAUUUCCGGUGGCUGUGGUCGACAAAUAUGCCGACAAGCACGGCACGCAGGCGCUCGCCAAGGCCUAUCUGGAAUUCCUGUACACGCCGGAAGGGCAAACCAUUCUGGCCAAGCAGUACAACCGCGUGAACGACAAGACCGUCGCCGAGAAGUUUAAGGACAAGUUCCCGGCGGUGAUCACCAUCGAGAAAGAGUUCGGCGGCUGGGACAAGGUCAACGCCGAGCACCUCAAUCCCGGCGCGAAGCUCGAUCAGUUGUUUGGCGGCGCCAACAG
rnacentral:misc_RNA from 1 species